CAGCAGCCACGGUAAUACGUAGGGUGCGAGCGUUAAUCGGAACUACUGGGCGUAAAGCGUGCGCAGGCGGUUGUGUAAGACAGGUGUGAAAUCCCCGGGCUUAACCUGGGAACUGCGCUUGUGACUGCACAGCUAGAGUAUGGCAGAGGGGGGUGGAAUUCCACGUGUAGCAGUGAAAUGCGUAGAGAUGUGGAGGAACACCGAUGGCGAAGGCAGCCCCCUGGGCCAAUACUGACGCUCAUGCACGAAAGCGUGGGGAGCAAACAGGAUUAGAUACCCCCGUAGUCCCUGUCUCUUAUAC
rnacentral:rRNA from 1 species